GCCACUGCUAUUGGGGUUCGGCUAAGCCAUGCGAGUGGAGGGCGUCCCGCAAGGGAUGGCCCCGCAGACGGCUCAGUAACACGUCGGCAACCCACCUUAGGGUGGGGGACAACCUCGGGAAACUGAGGAUAAUCCCCCAUAGGCGGGGGAGGCUGGAAUGCGCCCCCGCUGAAAGCUCAGGCGCCCUAGGACGGGACGGCGGCCUAUCAGGUAGUUGGUGGUGUGACG
rnacentral:rRNA from 1 species